rnacentral:rRNA from 1 species
AUGGAAUCGAAAGAAUACAUGGAAAUCAGAAAUGCCCUUAUUGUGCUCAGAAAGAUUACUAGUAUAUUUCCUGUGAUUCGAAAAAGUGGUAUCAACCUCGAGAAAAGGAACAAGAGGGAUGAUCUGAAAGUACUGACAAUUGGUGUACCUGCUGCUCUCAAGAUGAACCUUCAAAAAAUUUGUCCAAUGAUGGAGUUAAAGUCUUCAAGCCUACUGCAGAACCUGAGUUUAGGAUUUCUUUUUGAAACUUUCAAACACACUUCACAACAACAACAACAACAACAACAACAACAACAACAACAACAAAGCCUUUAG